UACGUAGGGUGCGAGCGUUAAUCGGAAUUACUGGGCGUAAAGCGUGCGCAGGCAGUUUUGUAAGACAGAGGUGAAAUCCCCGGGCUCAACCUGGGAACUGCCUUUGUGACUGCAAGGCUUGAGUGCGGCAGAGGGGGAUGGAAUUCCGCGUGUAGCAGUGAAAUGCGUAGAUAUGCGGAGGAACACCGGUGGCGAAGGCGGCAUCCUGGACCGGCAUUGACGCUGAGGCGCGAAAGCUAGGGGAGCAAACGGG
rnacentral:rRNA from 1 species